GACGAACGCUGGCGGCGUGCUUAACACAUGCAAGUCGAACGGUGAACGAGGGAGCUUGCUCCCUCCGGAUCAGUGGCGAACGGGUGAGUAACACGUGAGCAAUCUGCCCCGAACUCUGGGAUAAGCGUUGGAAACGACGUCUAAUACCGGAUACGACUCUGGAGGGCAUCCUCUCCGCGUGGAAAGAACUUCGGUUCGGGAUGAGCUCGCGGCCUAUCAGCUUGUUGGUGAGGUAACGGCUCACCACGGCGACGACGGGUAGCCGGCCUGAGAGGGUGACCGGCCACACUGGGACUGAGACACGGCCCAGACUCCUACGGGAGGCAGCAGUGGGGAAUAUUGCACAAUGGGCGCAAGCCUGAUGCAGCAACGCCGCGUGAGGGACGACGGCCUUCGGGUUGUAAACCUCUUUUAGCAGGGAAGAAGCGAAAGUGACGGUACCUGCAGAAAAAGCACCGGCUAACUACGUG
rnacentral:rRNA from 1 species